rnacentral:rRNA from 1 species
GAAAAAAGACAAGGGCAGACGGUGGAUGCCUUGGCUCUCGGAAGCGAAGAAGGACGUGAUAAGCUGCGAAAAGCUACGGGUAUCGGCACAUACGAGUUGAUCCGUAGAUCUCCGAAUGGGGCAACCCGGCAUAUGGAAGAUAUGUCACUGUGCAGAGCACAGAGCAGACGUGGGGAACUGAAACAUCUUAGUACCCAUAGGAAAAGAAAACAAAAGUGAUUCCCUUAGUAGUGGCGAGCGAACGGGGAGUAGCCCAAACCGGCUUUGUUUCGGCAAAGUCGGGGUAAUAGGAUCAGACGACAAAUUAUAUAAAGACUUUAGUAGAAUUGUGUUGGAAAGCACAGCCAGAGAGCGUGACAGCCGCGUAGACGAAAAGGUCGCUAUAUGAGAGUUUGACACCUGAGUAGCUCGGGACACGAGAAAUCCUGAGUGAAUUAGCGGGGCCCAUCCCGUAAGGCUAAAUAUACCCGAGAGACCGAUAGUGAACAAGUACCGUGAGGGAAAGGUGAAAAGGACCUCGAACAGAGGAGUGCAAUAGACCCUGAACCCGUCUGCCUACAAGCGGUAGGAGCCCCUACGUGGGGUGACUGCGUGCCUUUUGCAUAAUGAACCUACGAGUUGCCGUUGCUGGCAAGGCUAACCGGCUAUAGUCGGGUACCCGGAGCGAAAGCGAGUCUGAAUAGGGCGUUUAUAGUCAGCAGGGGCAGACGCGAAACCAAGUGAUCUACCCUUGGCCAGGUUGAAGGUUAGGUAACACUAAUUGGAGGACCGCAUCGGUAAGCGUUGAAAAGCUUUCGAAUGAGCUGAGGGUAGGGGUGAAAGGCUAAUCAAACUUGGAGAUAGCUCGUACUCCCCGAAAUGCAUUUAGGUGCAGCCUCAGGAGUUUCUUAUAAGAGGUAGAGCGACUGAUUGGAUGCGAGGCUUUCACCGGCUAUCAAGUCCAGACAAACUCCGAAUGCAUACAAGUUAGAUCCAUGGAGUGAGGGCAUGGGUGCUAAGGUCCAUGUCCGAGAGGAGAAGAAUCCAGACCAUCGGCUAAGGUCCCGAAAUAAUAGCUAAGUUGACCAAACGAAGUCAGAGUGCUAAGACAGCUAGGAUGUUGGCUUGGAAGCAGCCAUUCAUUUAAAGAGUGCGUAACAGCUCACUAGUCGAGGAUUUUGGCAUGGAUAAUAAUCGGGCAUAAGCAGUGUACCGAAGCUGUGGGAUGUUAAUACAUCGGUAGGGGAGCAUUCUAACGGAGUAGAAGAUUCGAAGACGAUUCGGGUUGGAUUUGUUAGAAAAGCAAAUGUAGGUAUAAGUAACGAUAAAGGGGGUCAGAAACCCCCUCGCCGAAAGACCAAGGUUUCCUGAUCAACGCUAAACGGAUCAGGGUUAGUCGGGCCCUAAGCGGCAGCCGAACGGCGCACGCGAUGGCAGAAUGGGUUAAUAUUCCCAUACUAAUCAUAUGAGUGAUGUGGAGACGGAGAAGUGACAGUACGGCCAACUGACGGAAUAGUUGGUUAAAGGGUGUAGAUGUAGAUUGGGGUAGGCAAAUCCGCCCUGAGAGUCGAACCUGAUAGUACAGAGCGUGCAUGCACAAUCUGAUAAGUACGUAAACAGGCUCCCAAGAAAAUCCGCUAAACAUAUUGUAUGAUUACCCGUACCGUAAACCGACACAGGUGGUUGGGUUGAGUAUACUAAGGCGCUCGAGUGAUUCGCGGUUAAGGAACUAGGCAAAAUAGUCCUGUAACUUCGGGAAAAAGGACGCCUCUGAGCGAUCAGAGGUCGCAGAGAAAAGGCCCUGGCGACUGUUUAACAAAAACACAUGGCUAUGCGAAAUAGAAAUAUGCAGUAUAUAGCCUGACACCUGCCCGGUGCCGGAAGGUUAAGAGGAGAGGUCAUCCUAUUAGGAGAAGCUUUGAAUUGAAGCCCCGGUAAACGGCGGCCGUAACUAUAACGGUCCUAAGGUAGCGAAAUUCCUUGUCGGGUAAGUUCCGACCUGCACGAAUGGUGUAACGAUCUGGGCACUGUCUCAGCCGCGAGCUCGGUGAAAUUGUAGUAUCGGUGAAGAUGCCGAUUACCCGCAACGGGACGAAAAGACCCCGUGAACCUUUACUAUAGCUUUAUAUUGUAGCCGGGUAUUAGAUGUGUAGGAUAGGCCGGAGGCUGAGAAUGGGCAACGCCAGUUGUCUUGGAGCCGCUGUUGAAAUACGGCCCUUUUACUAUUUGGCUACUAACACGCGUGUUGCGUGGACAGUGUAUGGUGGGUAGUUUGACUGGGGUGGUCGCCUCCAAAAGUGUAACGGAGGCUU